rnacentral:rRNA from 1 species
AACGAACGCUGGCGGCAUGCCUAACACAUGCAAGUCGAACGGGAUCCUAGCUUGCUAGGUGAGAGUGGCGGACGGGUGAGUAACACGUGGGAAUCUGCCUUUUGGUUCGGGAUAACCGCGGGAAACUGCGGCUAAUACCGAAUGCCCUCGAGAGAGGAAAGAUUUAUCGCCAGAAGAGGAGCCCGCGUCCGAUUAGGUAGUUGGUGGGGUAAAGGCCUACCAAGCCGACGAUCGGUAGCUGGUCUGAGAGGAUGAUCAGCCACACUGGGACUGAGAUACGGCCCAGACUCCUACGGGAGGCAGCAGUGGGGAAUAUUGGACAAUGGGGGCGAACCCUGAUCCAGCAAUGCCGCGUGAGUGAUGAAGGCCUUAGGGUUGUAAAGCUCUUUUGCCAGGGAAGAUGAUGACUGUACCUGGAGAAUAAGCCCCGGGCUAACUUCGUGCCAGCAGCCGCGGUAAU